GAUGAACGCUGGCGGCGUGCCUAAUACAUGCAAGUCGAGCGAACGGACGAGAAGCUUGCUUCUCUGAUGUUAGCGGCGGACGGGUGAGUAACACGUGGAUAACCUACCUAUAAGACUGGGAUAAAUUCGGGAAACCGGAGCUAAUCCCGGAUGAUAUUUUGAACCGCAUGGUUCAAAAGUGAAAGACGGUCUUGCUGUCACUUAUAGAUGGAUCCGCGCUGCAUUAGCUAGUUGGUAAGGUAACGGCUUACCAAGGCAACGAUGCAUAGCCGACCUGAGAGGGGGAUCGGCCACACUGGAACGGAGACACGGUCCAGACUCCUACGGGAGGCAGCAGAAGGGAAUCUUCCGCAAAGGGCGAAAGCCUGACGGAGCAACGCCGCGUGAGGGAUGAAGGUUUUCGGAUCGUAAAACUCUGUUAUUAGGGAAGAACAUAUGUGUAAGUAACUGUGCACAUCUUGACGGUACCUUAUCAGAAAGCCACGGCUAACUACGUG
rnacentral:rRNA from 1 species